UACGGAGGAUGCAAGCGUUAUCCGGAUUUAUUGGGUUUAAAGGGUGCGUAGGCGGGUGAUUAAGCGUGAGGUGAAAUGCCACGGCUCAACCGUGGAGGUGCCUCGCGAACUGGUCGUCUGGAAUGCUCCUGCCGUGGGAGGAAUGGGUAGUGUAGCGGUGAAAUGCAUAGAUAUUACCCAGAACACCGAUUGCGAAGGCAUCUCACGAAGGGGUGAUUGACGCUGAUGCACGAAAGCGUGGGGAUCGAAC
rnacentral:rRNA from 1 species